GCCCAGAUUCCUACGGGAGGCAGCAGUGGGGAAUAUUGCACAAUGGNNNCAAGCCUGAUGCAGCNNNGCCGCGUGANNNAUGACGGCCUUCGGGUUGUAAACCUCUUUCAAUAGGGACGAAGCGCAAGUGACGGUACCUAUAGAAGAAGGACCGGCCAACUACGUGCCAGCAGCCGCGGUAAUACGUAGGGUCCGAGCGUUGUCCGGAAUUACUGGGCGUAAAGAGCUCGUAGGUGGUUUGUCACGUUGUUCGUGAAAACUCACAGCUUAACUGUGGGCGUGCGGGCGAUACGGGCAGACUAGAGUACUGCAGGGGAGACUGGAAUUCCUGGUGUAGCGGUGGAAUGCGCAGAUAUCAGGAGGAACACCGGUGGCGAAGGCGGGUCUCUGGGCAGUAACUGACGCUGAGGAGCGAAAGCGUGGGGAGCGAACAGGAUUAGAUACCCUGGUAGUCCACGCCGUAAACGGUGGGUACUAGGUGUGGGUUUCCUUCCUUGGGAUCCGUGCCGUAGCUAACGCAUUAAGUACCCCGCCUGGGGAGUACGGCCGCAAGGCUAAAACUCAAAGAAAUUGACGGGGGCCCGCACAAGCGGCGGAGCAUGUGGAUUAAUUCGAUGCAACGCGAAGAACCUUACCUGGGUUUGACAUGCACAGGACGCCAGUAGAGAUAUUGGUUCCCUUGUGGCCUGUGUGCAGGUGGUGCAUGGCUGUCGUCAGCUCGUGUCGUGAGAUGUUGGGUUAAGUCCCGCAACGAGCGCAACCCUUGUCUCAUGUUGCCAGCACGUAAUGGUGGGGACUCGUGAGAGACUGCCGGGGUCAACUCGGAGGAAGGUGGGGAUGACGUCAAGUCAUCAUGCCCCUUAUGUCCAGGGCUUCACACAUGCUACAAUGGCCGGUACAAAGGGCUGCGAUGCCGUGAGGUGGAGCGAAUCCUUUCAAAGCCGGUCUCAGUUCGGAUCGGGGUCUGCAACUCGACCCCGUGAAGUCGGAGUCGCUAGUAAUCGCAGA
rnacentral:rRNA from 1 species